ensembl:snoRNA SNORA62 Small nucleolar RNA SNORA62/SNORA6 family
UUUGCACUAACACCACAAGAGUCUGGCUCAGUGAAUGGGGAUUGAUAGUAGUUU